rnacentral:rRNA from 1 species
UACGGGGGGGGCAAGCGUUGUUCGGAAUUACUGGGCGUAAAGGGCUCGUAGGCGGCCAACUAAGUCAGACGUGAAAUCCCUCGGCUUAACCGGGGAACUGCGUCUGAUACUGGAUGGCUUGAGGUUGGGAGAGGGAUGCGGAAUUCCAGGUGUAGCGGUGAAAUGCGCAGAUAUCAGGAGGAACACCGGUGGCGAAGGCGGCUUGCUGGGCCAGUUCUGACGCUGAGGAGCGAAAGCGUGGGGAGCGAACAGG